AGUAUAUCUUCGCCAGCUUCAGAGUCAAGGGUGCCGAGUCUGUCCUGUCUGUGGGUGCAGUCUAUAGAAUUCCUAACACUGAUGUGUCCGAAUUCAACUUAAACCUUAGAAACUAAUACAGUACAGCAUUUGCCUUUUUUUUCUCUUAAUAAUAAUGCUUUCAGAUUUGUGAAUUGAGCAUGACAAGCUAUAAGAAUACUUUGGAGGAGUUUUGAGCAACCCUUAAGCUGCACAGGAUACUUACAAGAACUUACAAGAGCAAUAUAAUUAGAAUAUCUGCCCCGUCAGCAUAUUGUCCUGUUUAGAUGGUAUUUAUGGUAACGAUUUGGACCAUCUUACAUAUAUUGAUGUAAUGGACAGUUACAAAGCAGAAUUUGGACAAACUGGAAAAGGUUUUGUAGUAAUUUUUAAGAUGGUAUACCAUUAACUCACAAAGAUACAAGCAGAAGAAGAAUGAAUGUUUGGCUGAAAAAGCAGGUAAACAAAGGGAAUAUCAUUUUAGAUCAAGAGAGCAGUAACUCUACCAGCAAAAGCAGUAGAGUUAGGUUACCAGCAAAAGCAGUAGAGUUAGGUUACCAGCAAAAGCAGUAGAGUUAGGUUACCAGCAAAAGCAGUAGAGUUAGGUUACCAGCAAAAGCAGUAGAGUUAGGUUACCAGCAAAAGCAGUAGAGUUAGGUUACCAGCAAAAGCAGUAGAGUUAGGUUACCAGCAAAAGCAGUAGUUAGGUUACCAGCAAAAGCAGUAGAGUUAGGUUACCAGCAAAAGCAGUAGAGUUAGGUUACCAGCAAAAGCAGUAGAGUUAGGUUACCAGCAAAAGCAGUAGAGUUAGGUUACCAGCAAAAGCAGUAGAGUUAGGUUACCAGCAAAAGCAGUAGAGUUAGGUUACCAGCAAAAGCAGUAGAGUUAGGUUACCAGCAAAAGCAGGAGAGGAGAGAGGAACAACCACAGAAGUGACCAGGAUGAGAGCCAAGCAUUGGUCUCCUGAAGACACACAAAGCGGUGAAAACUGAGAGAUCAGAAGUUGGAGUUCCUGAAAAUUGGUAUAAAACCAAGUACUGUAUAUGUCACUCAAGAAUAGAUAUAGCAAAGAACAGGGAUAACAGAAAGAGAGA